rnacentral:rRNA from 1 species
AUUGAACGCUGGCGGAAUGCUUUACACAUGCAAGUCGAACGGUAGAGGGGGCAACCCCUCGAGAGUGGCGAACGGGUGAGUAAUAUAUCGGAACGUGCCCAGUCGUGGGGGAUAACGUAGCGAAAGUUACGCUAAUACCGCAUACGAUCUAAGGAUGAAAGCGGGGGAUCGCAAGACCUCGCGCGAUUGGAGCGGCCGAUAUCAGAUUAGGUAGUUGGUGGGGUUAAGGCUCACCAAGCCAACGAUCUGUAGCUGGUCUGAGAGGACGACCAGCCACGCUGGAACUGAGACACGGUCCAGACUCCUACGGGAGGCAGCAGUGGGGAAUUUUGGACAAUGGACGCAAGUCUGAUCCAGCCAUUCCGCGUGCAGGAUGAAGGCCCUCGGGUUGUAAACUGCUUUUGUACGGAACGAAAAGGUCUCUCUUAAUACGGGGGACUCAUGACGGUACCGUAAGAAUAAGCACCGGCUAACUACGUGCCAGCCGCCGCCGUAAGAC